AUUGAACGCUGGCGGAAUGCUUUACACAUGCAAGUCGAACGGCAGCACGGGGGCAACCCUGGUGGCGAGUGGCGAACGGGUGAGUAAUACAUCGGAACGUGCCCAGUCGUGGGGGAUAACGUAGCGAAAGCUACGCUAAUACCGCAUACGAUCUACGGAUGAAAGCGGGGGACCGGAAGGCCUCGCGCGAUUGGAGCGGCCGAUGGCAGGUUAGGUAGUUGGUGGGGUAAAGGCUCACCAAGGCGACGAUCUGUAGCUGGUCUGAGAGGACGACCAGCCACACUGGGACUGAGACACGGCCCAGACUCCUACGGGAGGCAGCAGUGGGGAAUCUUGGACAAUGGGCGCAAGCCUGAUCCAGCAAUUCCGCGUGCAGGAUGAAGGCCUUCGGGUUGUAAACUGCUUUUGUACGGAACGAAAAGGCCUGGGCUAAUACCCCGGGCUAAUGACGGUACCGUAAGAAUAAGCACCGGCUAACUACGUGCCAGCCGCCGCGGUAAAAC
rnacentral:rRNA from 1 species